rnacentral:rRNA from 1 species
UACGUAGGGGGCUAGCGUUGUCCGGAAUCAUUGGGCGUAAAGCGCGCGUAGGCGGCCCGGUAAGUCCGUUGUGAAAGUCAGGGGCUCAACCCUUGAAUGCCGGCGGAUACUGUCGGGCUAGAGUCCGGAAGAGGCAAGUGGAAUUCCUGGUGUAGCGGUGAAAUGCGCAGAUAUCAGGAGGAACACCUAUUGCGAAGGCAGCUCGCUGGGACGUAACUGACGCUGAGACGCGAAAGCGUGGGGAGCAAACAGG